CCUGGCGGCACUAGCGCGGUGGUCCCACAUGACCCCAUGCCGAACUCAGAAGUGAAACGCCGUAGCGCCGAUGGUAGUGUGGGGUCUCCCCAUGCGAGAGUAGGGAACUGCCAGGC
rnacentral:rRNA from 1 species